GUUGACCUCGGAUCAGGUAGGAAUACCCGCUGAACUUAAGCAUAUCAAG
rnacentral:rRNA from 1 species